rnacentral:rRNA from 1 species
UACGUAGGGGGCUAGCGUUGUCCGGAAUCAUUGGGCGUAAAGCGCGUGUAGGCGGUCCGGUAAGUCCGCUGUGAAAGCCAGGGGCUCAACCCUUGGAUGCCGGUGGAUACUGUCGGGCUUGAGUACGGAAGAGGCGAGUGGAAUUCCUGGUGUAGCGGUGAAAUGCGUAGAUAUCGGGAGGAACACCAGUGGCGAAGGCGACUACCUGGCCUGUUCUUGACGCUGAGGCGCGAAAGCUAGGGGAGCAAACGGG